UAAAACGUAGGAAGCGAGCGUUAUCCGGAUUUACUGGGCGUAAAGCGCAUGCAGGCGGUUCCACAAGUUAGACUUGAAAGCUCCCGGCUUAACUGGGAGAGGCGGUUUAAGACUGUGGGACUAGAGGAUGGACGAGGAGAGCGGAAUUCCCGGUGUAGUGGUGAAAUGCGUAGAUAUCGGGAGGAACACCAGUGGCGAAAGCGGCUCUCUAGACCGUACCUGACGCUCAGAUGCGAAAGCCAGGGGAGAGAACGGGAUUAGAAACCCCGGUAUUCCUGGCCGUAAACGAUGUUAACUAGGCGUCGCGGGUGUCAAAGCCUGCGGUGCUGCAGCCAACGCGAUAAGUUAACCGCCUGGGGACUACGGCCGCAAGGCUA
rnacentral:rRNA from 1 species